AGUUGCCGCUGUGACAUUGCGCCGAGGCUCUGAAUUGGUGCUGGUAUCGCUGUACCUCUCAAAUAGCUUCCCCAUUUUGACUAAGAAUGAAGAGCUUCUUGGAUAAAGAACUUGUAAAAAUCAGCCUUCUGCCCCAGCGUCUUCUCCAAAGAUACAGGAGCUUGCUGGACCCACUUGCAAGGGAAGCCUGGAAGUUGGGGAGUUAAUGUCUUC
rnacentral:lncRNA from 1 species